CCUACGGGAGGCAGCAGUGGGGAAUAUUGCACAAUGGGGGAAACCCUGAUGCAGCGACGCCGCGUGAAGGAAGAAGUAUUUCGGUAUGUAAACUUCUAUCAGCAGGGAAGAUAAUGACGGUACCUGACUAAGAAGCCCCGGCUAACUACGUGCCAGCAGCCGCGGUAAUACGUAGGGGGCAAGCGUUAUCCGGAUUUACUGGGUGUAAAGGGAGCGUAGGCGGUUCAGCAAGUCAGAAGUGAAAGCCCGGGGCUCAACCCCGGGACUGCUGUUGAAACUGUUGAACUAGAGUGCAGGAGAGGUAAGUGGAAUUCCUAGUGUAGCGGUGAAAUGCGUAGAUAUUAGGAGGAACACCAGUGGCGAAGGCGGCUUACUGGACUGUAAAUGACGCUGAGGCUCGAAAGCGUGGGGAGCAAACAGGAUUAGAUACCCGUGUAGUC
rnacentral:rRNA from 1 species